UACGUAGGGGGCAAGCGUUGUCCGGAUUUAUUGGGCGUAAAGAGCGUGUAGGCGGCCUGACAGGUCUGCUGUGAAAACUCGAGGCUCAACCUCGAGAUGUCGGCGGAAACCGUCUGGCUAGAGUCCGGAAGAGGAGAGUGGAAUUCCUGGUGUAGCGGUGAAAUGCGCAGAUAUCAGGAAGAACACCCGUGGCGAAGGCGGUUCUCUGGGACGGUACUGACGCUGAGGCGCGAAAGCGUGGGGAGCGAACAGG
rnacentral:rRNA from 1 species